rnacentral:rRNA from 1 species
AGAGCGAACGCUGGCGGCAUGCUUAACACAUGCAAGUCGCACGGUCAGGUUUCGGCCUGGUAGUGGCGGACGGGUGAGUAACGCGUAGGUAUCUGUCCGAAGGUGGGGGAUAACGGCGGGAAACUGCUGCUAAUACCGCAUAUGACCUGAGGGUCAAAGGUCGCAAGACCGCCUGUGGAGGAGCCUGCGUACGAUUAGCUUGUUGGUGGGGUAAAGGCCUACCAAGGCGACGAUCGUUAGCUGGUCUGAGAGGAUGAUCAGCCACAUUGGGACUGAGACACGGCCCAAACUCCUACGGGAGGCAGCAGUGGGGAAUAUUGGACAAUGGGGGCAACCCUGAUCCAGCAAUGCCGCGUGUGUGAAGAAGGUCUUCGGAUUGUAAAGCACUUUCGACGGGACGAUGAUGACGGUACCCGUAUAAGAGCCCCGGCUAACUUCGUGCCAGCAGCCGC